GGUCAUUUUGGCAAAACUAACGCACAAACUCCCUCUUCAUCCCUCAAAAAAUACAUCUCUCGGCUCUCUCCCUGACAAGACGAGAAGACAACAAAAAUCACUCUUCCUCCUCCAGUCCUCCCAAGUCACUCUCGGCUCUCUGUUUUCUCUCAACAGACAAGCCACAAGAGGAAAAAAAAGGAACUCUCCACUUUUUCUCCCAAUACAACCUCUCGGCUCUCUCUCUCGAAUCCCCCUCUCAUUUCUUUUAACAAGCCACAAAACACUCCCUCAAUCUUCUCUCGGCUCCAUCUCUGGCUCUCUCAAUCUCAUAUGCACCUAUUCUCGGAGCAAAGAAAGGUGAAGGAAGGAAAUGAAGACAACAAGCAAUUGGAGUGUGAGGUGUUGGAUUUCCUUCAAAAUUUUGACCGAAGAAGCUCUUGCUUGAGUUGAGGUAUUUUUCCAGCUUUAUUAACCAUGUCAAACCCAUAUUUUAUCGUUUAAUUUUCUGGCUUUUGCUGUCUUUUAUUGAUGUUUGUUGUGUUGUUCAAAAUUUGGGAAAUGGCUUGAGCUAGAUUAAGAAAAAGGAAAUAGUUUUUGUAUAUGCAUGCUAGGUGUUUGAAAAAAUGCCUAAAUAAAAAACCGAAUUAAAGUACCUAUUAUUGUGCAAUUUUUUUUUGUUAAAAUGAAUGAUUACAGCUAGUACAAAGCCUGCAAAUGCUUGGUUAUCCAAAAUUUUGGAGUUUUUGAGCCUUAAGAGCAUUAGAAUAAUUUUCUUCAUUUUGGGGGCUGUUUUGACUUAAUGCAUCAUUUUGUUAUUGUUUACUUGUCAAACUAAGAUUAUAGUUGUAAUGUAGAAGUUAGAAGGAGGGUUUUGGCAUAAUUUUUAUGAUUUUUGGUGAAGGUUUAAGGGUUUUAAAAGGAUAAAAAACUGGGCUGUUUUUUGGCAUUUUGGCCACCUUCGGGUCAUUUUUUGUAAAAACUAACUUAAAAAAUGGAUUCAACGCGAAAAAUCGAGUGAGGGAGUGUAUUUUGGUGAAAUUUUGUGAUCGGAAAAAUCGCCGGCGACCGGCGGUGGCGGUGCCGGCGCCGCCAUGUCAGCCAUGGCUGGCGGUAGCGAGGAGCUUCAGCUGGCCAGGCAAGAAGAAGAAGAAACGGAAGGGGAGGAAGAAGAAAGAAAAGAAAGGAAAGAAAAGAAAAGAAGAAAAAAAAUGGUUUGGGCUAAUUUUUUUUUUUAAGGUGGGCUUGUGGUUAUUUUUUGGUUGGGUUUUGGUUUAUUUCUUUUGUGUUUCGGUUUGGGGUAGGAGGUCAGAGUUCAUGCAUUUUUGGUUGGGCUUGAAUGAUAAAAAGACGGGCUGGCCUGCUCGCUUCUCCUGGGUUUCGGCUGGGCUUAGGAAUUUUUGGCCCGAGUAAAAAAAAUAAAAGAGGCCCGAUGCCUUUUUCUUGCCCAAAUCAGAAACCGAAAUUUGCACUUUAGCCCCUGAUCUUUGGAGUAGUUUUACUACGGCCCAAAAUAUUUUAAAUUUCUUUCAAUUAGGUCCUUAAUUUAAUUGUAAUUUGGUCCUUAAAUUUUUAUUUUUAUUUAAUUUUGACCCCUAAACUUUAGAAAAAUUAUAUUUUGACCCUAAAAGUUUUUCAAUUUUUGCAAUUUAGUCUCUAGUGAAUUUUGACUCUCUUUAUUAUGAUUGUUUCUUUUCUUUAAUAGCUAAUUAUGAUACUUUUGAAUAUAUUUAACUUGUAAUUUUUAGAUGUUCUUCAAUUUCUUUACAUUUGACAUAUUAAUGUGAAUUUAGUAUUUUUAUUAUUAUUAUUAUUUUCAAUUAAAUUGGUGUCAUGAUUCUUUUGUUCAUUUUGAGUAUAAAUAGGCCAAUUUGACUUCCAUUUAGUCACCACUUCAAAAGGAAGGUAUCCCUAUUAUUAUUCAAAUGUUCAUUACGUGCUCUUAUGUGCUCCUAUGUGUUUAUAUUUUUUUUACAUGCUUUGUUAUUUAUUUGAUUCAAAUCUUCAUUCAAAUUUUCUUAUAUUUGUUUAGUUAAUUUUUAUAAUUAUUUGGGAGGUAUUUAAAUACCUCAAAAAUGUAAUAGAUAGGAUAAUUAGAUUUGUUUUAUUUUAUUUUUCCAUUUUAGACUGUAGUAAGGGUCUCCGAUGUAAUAGGUAGGUUGUGUGUUUAUGUGGCUUAUGUGUUAUAUGCUUUAUCCGCUUUCCUUAGGAUUUUUUCAUCUAGAUAUUAUGUUUACGUGUUACGUGCUAUGUGCUCUUAUGUAUUUAUUUGUUUUAAUUUAUGCCUUAUUUGUUUUAUUAUGUAUUAUUAAUGCAUGACGUCACCACACUAGUCCAACGCUAGUUGUUUCUUCUCCCUCCGUUUACUUGCUAGUCCAACGCUAGUAAGGAUUUUUAAAAAUGGGUUAAUCCAACGCUAGACUUUUAGAUUGUUCACGCAUUAGAUUCAUCUUUUGUAUGAUAUCCAUUACAUUUUUAUGCAUAUUUUUAUUUUUUUAGGAUCUUUUCUCAUUUGCAUGAUAUUUUUUAUUACAUUAUCUCCUACCCUUUAUAUGUGUUAAUCAUAUCAUUUAGAAUUGCAUCUCAUUUAAGAAAUUGUAAAAUAAGUUAAUUCAUUUGUUUGUUUAUAUUAGGAGAAUCAUUCAUUGAACAUGGAUAUGGGUGAUUAUAACUUUUUAAUUUAAAUACCCUAUUAAUCCCUGUAUAAAAAUUAUGUCAUGAAUUUUUGCCUCUCAUACCCGUUAUGUUGCAUUUUCUAUUCUUUGGCCACUUAUACUUAUAUAUAUAAUUUAAUUUUUUUUAAUUUUAUCAUUUGCAUACUCGUGGCUCCUUCAAAAAACUAUUUUGGUCUUCGCAAUUAAUGUGAUUGGUAUUAGUUAAACCCUUGAAUGAAUAUUUUGUCCCUCUCGAUGUUUUUUAUAAAUUUAGAUUUGCAUUCAUGUAGGAAACAUUCAAAUGUGAUAAAUUUAAGUGUUAGAUUAGGAAAAUUUUUGACUAAACCUCGUAAUUGGCUUAAACUAAGUUGAAAGGGUGCCUUAAAUUCGAGUCAAUCGAACUUUUGCCUUCCCUUUCUUCAAUUGUGACUUCCGAACUCAUUUUCUAUUAUUUUCAAAGAUUUGGAAUUGUCGAAAAGGGUUUUAUUUUAUUUAUUUUUACUUUAUUUUUGUUAGAAGUACUUUGAGGGUGACUUGGUACAUAAAAACUCAAUUCCAAGUGACGGCUCCUCUUUUUCUUAAAAAACCCUUUUAGCCUAAAUUUUGGACCCAAACUGUCGCAUUCUUUAAAGUCUUGUUUUAGGUCCUUUUUUACUCUUUUUUUAAAUAAAAUCAUAUCUUUUGUAAACACUAUAUUUUUCAUUGCAAAAAAUGGGCCGUGACACCAAUAUUCCAUUUAAUAGCUAUUCACCAAAAGAGAAAAAGGAAACCUUGUAUGUCAUCCUUGACCAUUUAAUCACAACUAGGUUCUCAUUAUCGGUCCCAAUAUAGACUCAAGUUGUGUUUGAUAAAACUGAAAAUUGAAUCUAUUAAAUUAUUGAAUUAUUAAGUAUCAAAUAUAUUAUAUUUGAAUGUAUAUCACAUUCACUGAUAAGUGAAUAACUUAUCACUUAAUUUUAAAAAUAAAUUUUGCUUAUAAAGUUUAGUGCAACUUAAUUAAUUAAGAUAUUCAAUUUUUGGUUAUCAAACGAUCUGAAUAUGAUAAUAUCUGAUUUCAUUAAAUUUAAGUGUCGAAUUGGGUUAUUAAACAGGUCUCAAUUUGAAUUGCUUAUUUGUAAAAUACAUAAGCACCUAUUCAAUUGGUCAUAGAAAUUUCAAAUUGGUUAACCUCCCCCACAUGUUUCAACUUUUUUUUAAACUAAUUAACUUUCCAUUGAAAUAAAGAAUCAUUCUGGUUGAAUGGUUGGAUUUGAAAGAUUUCCCUUGAGCAAUUUGAAAAGAAGUAGAAACAGCAAAUAAAUGUGCGUUUGCGUGUAUUUUUUUUAAUUUUUUUGAUAAAUUAUUUCACGUAAUGCAUUAAAAUUUAAGGAUCGACUUGUUGAAAAUUAACGAUGUGGAGGCUAAUUUGUUAGCUAAAAAACGUUGGACGACAACUAUAUUGCUCAUUUGCACAAUUUAUUUAUUUUGUUCUUUGUCAGUUUUUUCAUUUAUGAAGCUUUUACUCCCCCUGGGCCGUGGAUGCUUGAAGUCCAUAACCAGCCCUACUCCUAGUGCAGUUGCACGAAGAACAUAGACCGCCGCCUUUCAAGAUCGAUUCACUGAAGCUAAGGACACGGCGGAGCAGACAAUUAAGUCUAAGUGGCCUUCCCACAUAACACUGGUGGAGCAGAACCCACCGGUCUCCGCCGGAGGAGAGCUAAAACACCUCUGAAAGAACAAAAAAACUUUGUUGCUUCCGCCAAAGAAGGCGAACCUUUUCUAAGGACAAGGAUGCAGUACCAUAAAAGCAAUGCAUACACGAACAAGGUAUUUGCUUGAUAAAUUAACAACUUGCGAUUAAUCCUUCACUGUUUUCUUUUAGUUCCUGGUUUCUUUCAAUAAAUGAUAGUCUACUUUAACGGUGAAGGAAGUGAUGGCAUAAGUAAAAGGUAUGAGCAGGAUGAAUUGAUGGUAGUAAUGGGGUAAAAGUAGGAACGGAAGAAAAUCAAAAGAAAGAAAGAAAGAAGAGGGCCCCUGUUCUUGUACAAGUUGUUGCAAUGUAACAUUCGCUACCUCUUCGAGAGCAAUAUUACACCAUUGCUUAAAUAAGACUGGUGUAAUGGGUUGUAAUAAAAGGCGUGGGUUGCAUUCUAGAAUUGAAUGCUAACCUAGACUUCGCCCUACAUUAUUUGCUUUUACCCCGUUUCAGCUGCCAUCAAUUUUCCAGCAAUGAUCAAACCUUAUUGCUGAUCCUUUAAUUGUAUUACUUAAAAUUUUUUCUUUACGGGCUUUUAUAUUUUGCAAUGCCGUUUUUGAAGUUAUUUCUCACUUUACUGCAUUUUCCUGAUUAAAUUCAAAAGAAGCCCUUUUUUUUGGGUGGUAUCAGGUGUGUACUAGAUUUAAGACUGUUUUUUUACUGUCAAUACGAUCUAUAUUGCAUUUUUUGUCACUUUGUCUUGAAACGCAAGUCAUGGAUGAUUAGAUCAUUUCUUGAGGAAAGUAUGUUUAUCACAUGACCUUAUGAACAUUUGAUUAGUUAGUUGCAGUUACUUUGAAGCUGGAUUAGUUUCACUUGCUACUUAUAUUAAUCUGCAAGAAAAUGCUUUUUUUCAUGUUAUGAAUAGAGUGAUUCAGUGGUUAAUUUCUUGUUUUAAUGUUGCUGAUCAUGGAAUGCCUGUGCUUUGUUUUUUGAACUGUUUUCUGGUAUAUGAGAUACAUAUUUCUGACGAAUUUAGACUUUGAACAAUGCGGCUGAAAAUCAAAUCUUGUCGUUGUUGAGGAGGAGGGGAUGCGAUUGUCUUAUGCUGUAUGAUACAGUGUUGGUUGGGUACAAACUAUCUUCUGUAUGCAAGGACAUGAUAUUUCUGAGAAAUGAUGGUGAUACUGAUGGUCAUCCACAUUGGGUUAAAGGCCCAAGAGUCAGGAUAAGGUUUAAGGCAACUACCUUUUGUCUAGGAAACUGUUUGGCAAUAUAUUUCAGAGUGACCAAAGUUAGCAUUCUACAGUAUUCCACUUUUUUGGCUUUAAUCCCCUUGUAACUGUCAUCCAUCUACGUGUAUGUAGAUUUAAAGAUAAAGGGAUGAAAGGAAUUAAUGAUCUUAUGUGAUAAUCUUCUCAAAGUAUUUUGCUUGCCAAGUUUCAGAUAUAUUCACUAGCAAACGAAUUUUCAUGCGUCAGAUUGUUACUUCCUGAAAUUCAAUUACAUUUUGUGGCUAACUUUGCUAAGCGCAACACCAUUGAUAUGCAUGAGGUGAAAUACUUUUAGCUACAGGCUAUUUGCUUCUGCGAGUCAAAAGAGAAACCAGGAACAUGGAUGGAGUGCAUGCAUAUCAAUUAUACUCCAUUUCAUCUCUUGUGCAAAUAAAAGGUCUUCCUUAAUCCAUAAUUUGCAGGAUGACUGUUUUCCUGGUGUGCAGAAUUCUGCUAGUAUUGAGGGUUUGGUAUGGUCCAACGAUUGUAGAACGUGAUUACUGAAUGCUGAUGGUAGGUAAGAUUGCUAACCUGUUGGAGCUGGAGAUUGACAGCACUGAUUGAGUUUUCCACUUGCUCCAACCAAUUUUGAUUUGCAUGUGAACCCAAUUUCCAAACUUAUUGUUCUCCUUAGGCAGUGUCAGUUGACAGGAUGCCAGUCCUUGCUGGGCCCUACUUAUUAUAGGUUAUGUAUAUGUUUUUACUAACGUUUGGUAGAACAUCUAGUUUAAUGGAACUUCUCUCGGAGGUUUUUGCUUUUCAGAAGUGAGGCUGGUGACCUGGCUAGGCAUAACUUACAAUGUAUCUUGAAUUCUUACAGUUUACAAAUGUGACGCCUCUUGGUUCAAGUCCUCCUCUUCUAUUCUCCUGGCUCUUUCUGAUAGGUUAAUUUUCAGUGCUAAUGCAACUGCUUCAAUUUGAAAGGAUCCCAUUAGUUCCAAGAGUUUGAGGUCACUUGGCUUAAAAUCCUUAAUUUCUGAUGUGGAAAUCUACAGCUUCUGGUGGUUUCCUAUUUGUGUUAUCAUGUUAUCUUGUAAAAGAUUUCAGUUAUAUAUGCUAUAUAAUAAAAGCUUUUUUGCUAGCAAAAAUCAACUUUGUAGUAACUGAAUCCUUAAGUUUGAUGUAUUGGCCUUUUCUGACUUCGGGAUUAUUUGGAUGUUGUCUAUAGACUAACACAAAUUUACAGUAUUUUUGGAUUUGGAGUUUUUCUAAAUAUGUUUUUUGGUGUGGUAUUUUUGGGGUAUUUUUGAUGCAUG
rnacentral:lncRNA from 1 species